rnacentral:rRNA from 1 species
GACGAACGCUGGCGGCGUGCUUAACACAUGCCAGUCGAACGGAAAGGCCCUGCUUUUGUGGGGUGCUCGAGUGGCGAACGGGUGAGUAACACGUGAGUAACCUGCCCUUGACUUUGGGAUAACUUCAGGAAACUGGGGCUAAUACCGGAUAGGAGCUCCUGCUGCAUGGUGGGGGUUGGAAAGUUUCGGCGGUUGGGGAUGGACUCGCGGCUUAUCAGCUUGUUGGUGGGGUAGUGGCUUACAAAGGCUUUGACGGGUAGCCGGCCUGAGAGGGUGACCGGCCACAUUGGGACUGAGAUACGGACCAGACGCGUACGGGAGGCAGCAGUGGGGAGUAUGACACAAUGGGCGGAGGCCUGAUGCAGCAGCGCUGCGUGCGGGAUGACGGCCUUCGGGUUGUAAACCGCUUUCGCCUGUGACGAAGCGUGAGUGACGGUAAUGGGUAAAGAAGCACCGGCUAACUACGUG